rnacentral:piRNA from 1 species
UNGAUGGAGAUGCAUAACCAGUUGCCUUAAC